CCUUUGGUGCCAAUUAAUCAGAACUACUUGACCCUCUAACUUUCAUCCUCGACUCAUGUUUGUAGGGGACAGCUAUAAUCACUACAGGGAUUGCUAUGCUCUUCAUACUCCCUUAGCUACUGAGCUCUUGUAAGAGCUCUUGUUCCUGAUCCUGCUUCACUCUACAGAAGGAAGAGGUUCACCUACUGGAAUCUGGAACCUGG